CCUUGAAGGGGGUGUUGGGACCGCAGAUCCUCCCUGCUUCUUUCUUUGCAUCUGGGCUGCUAUGAGGUGAACAGUCCUCCUCUGGCCCCUUUUCCCACCGUGAUGUAUGGUGCCACCACAGACCCACAGGAAUUGGACCAAGCAACCAUGGACUGAAGCCUCUGAGACUGCAGGGUCGGAAUGGCAUCCGCUGCUGGAGAGAGGGAGGCACACACCACCCUGCCCUGCGCUGACGAAGAGCUACCUGGGCCUCGAGGCCAUCAGUCUGUUGCUGAGCUGGAAAACCUGGCUGGAGAGGCUUGGGACAUCUGCCAGAUGCCCGCAGAGCUGGGAGGAGUUGGCAUUGGGCAGCAUCCAGCCCCAGAAAGGGAUGGACUGAGCCAGGCAGAUUCAGAACGGAGGCUCCGCCAGGCGCCACACCUGGAGUACAGAUGGCCGUGCUGAGCAAUGGUUCCCGGUUUCUCUCUCCCCAUCACCACCACCAAGCCACCUACUGGAAAUUAAUCCAGUGAAUAAUGAUGCAUUGAGAUCACUAAAAUUGUGCCCUGUAAAUGAAACUGCACACUGUUCACUUUCCUCACCCCCCCCCUUCUCCUCUGGCUCCACUUCCUGCCUUCCAAGUGGGACUUUCUGAGCGGAACUGAGCCCAAGCUUCAGGAACUCCCCUGGAAGCUGCAGAGAAGCCGUUGGCCAGUCACUUGGCCACCAGGAAGGCUUGGGAAGUGUCCUGCAGCACUCCGAGGGCCUUCACGGAGGUCUCUCAGCUGCCUGUGCUCAUCAGCUCCUGCCCAGGCCCACACAGAAGGGCUCUGAUGGGCCGUCCUGGGCCACGUUGUUCCGUUUGGCACCAUCUCACAACGUGACCAAGGAAGCCACGAGAGCCCGUGUGGACUGGAGCAUCGCCAUGAGCCAUGGGGCUGUAACUCAGAGGCCUCCGCGAUGCUGGCCAGCAGUGUGUUCUCUCUCCACUCGGCUCGGGGCGCACCGAGGGCCCCACAGUGGCUCUGUGAGCAGAGAAGGGCUGUGCAGACUCGGGCCGGGGGCCCACAGCGUGGGAAUCCUGGCCUUGCAGCCCCCAGAAACCAGGUCUCGGGGAAGUUAGUUCACCUCACUGCGCUUUGUUUGUGUCUUCAUGGGAUGUGGACAAUUGUGCGUCUUGGGCUUUUUACAUUUUAAAAUGUCAACUGGUUAAUAACGAUGGAGGGUGUUCCCAGUGUACGGUGGGAUGACCUGAUGACCUACACAUCGCGGAACUAUCAGGGUGGUCAAAUGCAUGCAGGCAUCCAUCACCGCUGGGCUGUGCUUAGAGCCCAGGAUUGUUCUCAGCUGGAAGUGAAGUUACACCGGCAUUUCCCCUUCCCUUCCCCUCCCAGCUUCUGGUAACCACCAUUCUACUUCCCGAUGGGUCUAACUCUUAGGUUGCACGUGUCAGAGAGACAGUGCAGGGUUUGUCUUUCUGUGUCUGGCUACUCUCACUAAGCGUAAGGUCCUCCAGGUUCAUCCAUGUUUUCUCUUCACAGCUGAAUAAUAUUCCACUGUACACAGGAACCACAGUUCCUUAUUGGCUCACCUACUCAUGGGUACUGAAGCUGCUUCCACAUCUUGGUUAUUGGAAACAAUGCUGCAGUGGCUGUGGGUGCAGAUGUGUCUCUGAGAUUAUAUUUCUUUGGAUGUAUAUCCGGAAGAGGGAUUUGCAAGAUCCACAGGGUAAUAGUUCUAUUCUUAAUUUAUUGAAGAAGUUGCUUACCAUUUUCCAUAAUGGAUGUGAUGAUUUACAUUCCCACCAAAGUGUGCCAGGUCCCCCUCCUGCCUCUGCACCAGGACUUGUUAGCUCCUGUUUUGCACAGUAGCCUAGCAGGUGUGAGUUGGUUCCUCACUGCGGUUCUGACUUGUGUUUCCCUGUUGAUCAGAGAUGUUGAGCAUUUGUUCAUGCUGUUGGCCAUUUCUGUAGCAGAUGUCCCUGCCCAGGACUAGCAGGCUCUGAGUGGCUUCUUGCCUCCUUAAUUUGGCUAUAUUGUUUUAUGUCAGGAAUCAGACCAAAGCCUCACAUGACUCAAAUGGGCUUGUCAGCUAGCCAAGUUGGGCUAGCAUUGCUCCUUUGCUAACGGCUGUCACUGAGGAGUCCUAGGCCCCGGUCUGUGAGGUGCAGGGCUCUGCUGAGAAAUGUGCAGCUGAGGUCAGCGUGACCCCAGUUAAAACCCUUUUGCCUGAAUUACGGCUUCUCACUGACCCGAUGGGUUGCUUGCUAAUUGCACCCCGUCCCAGCACCGGUUUGUUCUGUCCAAGCAAGAUCAGCAGUGCUUCCUCCCUAGCAGCCCUGCCUGGCGCCGUCAUGCCAGGUGUUCGGCAGUGUUCCACUAGGUGCCUUCAAAGCAUACCCGGCUCCCGAUUCCUUCCCACAGCGUAUUCAAUAGAUACCGCGUGCUCUGGGGGGGCCUUGUCUCUGUUGCUACCAGCAGCACCAAUCAUGCCCCAAGACUCAGCUUCUUCACUCUAAGUCACGUUUCCUGUCUGUUCUUUAAUUCACCUUGUGCUGCAGUGGCUCACAGGAGGCCAGAACCCUUAGCAGAAGUUCUGGCAAGGCCCCCUUCCCCACUCCCUAUGCCUUUCUAUGUCUUCCUUGGAA
ensembl:lncRNA